rnacentral:rRNA from 1 species
UACGUAGGGUGCAAGCGUUGUCCGGAAUUAUUGGGCGUAAAGAGCUCGUAGGCGGUCUGUCGCGUCGGCUGUGAAAACCCGGGGCUCAACCCCGGGCCUGCAGUCGAUACGGGCAGACUAGAGUGCGGUAGGGGAGACUGGAAUUCCUGGUGUAGCGGUGAAAUGCGCAGAUAUCGGGAGGAACACCGGUGGCGAAGGCGGUUCUGCUGGGCCUGUACUGA